AUUGAACGCUGGCGGCAGGCCUAACACAUGCAAGUCGAGCGGAUGAAGGGAGCUUGCUCCUGGAUUCAGCGGCGGACGGGUGAGUAAUGCCUAGGAAUCUGCCUGGUAGUGGGGGAUAACGUCCGGAAACGGGCGCUAAUACCGCAUACGUCCUGAGGGAGAAAGUGGGGGAUCUUCGGACCUCACGCUAUCAGAUGAGCCUAGGUCGGAUUAGCUAGUUGGUGGGGUAAAGGCCUACCAAGGCGACGAUCCGUAACUGGUCUGAGAGGAUGAUCAGUCACACUGGAACUGAGACACGGUCCAGACUCCUACGGGAGGCAGCAGUGGGGAAUAUUGGACAAGGGGCGAAAGCCUGAUCCAGCCAUGCCGCGUGUGUGAAGAAGGACUUCGGAUUGUAAAGCACUUUAAGUUGGGAGGAAGGGCAGUAAGUUAAUACCUUGCUGUUUUGACGGUACCAACAGAAUAAGCACCGGCUAACUUCGUG
rnacentral:rRNA from 1 species